rnacentral:rRNA from 1 species
GACGAACGCUGGCGGCGUGCCUAAUACAUGCAAGUUGAGCGCUGAAGGUUGGUACUUGUACCAGCUGGAUGAGCAGCGAACGGGUGAGUAACGCGUGGGGAAUCUGCCUUUGAGCGGGGGACAACAUUUGGAAACGAAUGCUAAUACCGCAUAAAAACUUUAAACACAAGUUUUAAGUUUGAAAGAUGCAAUUGCAUCACUCAAAGAUGAUCCCGCGUUGUAUUAGCUAGUUGGUGAGGUAAAGGCUCACCAAGGCGAUGAUACAUAGCCGACCUGAGAGGGUGAGCGGCCACAUUGAGACUGAGACACGGCCCAAACUCCUACGGGAGGCAGCAGUAGGGAAUCUUGGGCAAUGGGCGAAAGUCUGACCGAGCAACGCCGCGGGAGUGAAGAAGGUUUUCGGAUCGUAAAACUCUGUUGGUAGGGAAGAACGUUGGUGAGAGUGGAAAGCUCAUCAAGUGACGGUAACUACCCAGAAAGGGACGGCUAACUACGUG